AUUAAAAUGAUAGUGAGGCAAAUGGAGCAGCUUCGUUUCCUUCUUACUCCACAAACAGGAGAUAAAAUGUUUCGGGAUGCAGCUGGUGAUUUCAAAAAAAAAAAAUUGGUCGAGGAUACUUUAGAUCGAGCUCGCUCUAUGUACUCCUCUUUUAAGAGGAUGUACAAUGAUCUUGCGGAAGAACUAGCUUCUACUUAUACUUAUAACCGCCACGACAUAAUUACUCCUGAAUUAGAGAAUCUUAAAAUUAUCUGCCAUACCGGCAAAGAUGAACUCUCCAAGGCAAAAGACAAGAAAAAAUUUGGUGUACUUAUAAAGCCUUACAUGAUCGGAAAUAAAGUAGGGGACUACUUUGAAACUAAAAAAAUUGCAGUAUUUAGAG